rnacentral:snoRNA from 1 species
UUGUAUCUAUGAAAGCAUAAUGUCUGCUGCUAAGGUUUCCACUACAGAUGCAAGAAAAAGAAGGUUCUCCCCCUUUCUGUCUGUCUGGAUGUGGUAGCCAAGAUCCAAUGGGGGAAUACAGGA